rfam:Ovis aries breed Texel chromosome 10, whole genome shotgun sequence.
UCCCCGGUGGUCUAGUGAUUAGGACUUGGCGCUUUCACUGCUGUGGCCUGAGUUCAAUCUCUGGUCAGGGAA